rnacentral:rRNA from 1 species
UACGUAGGGGGCGAGCGUUGUCCGGAAUUAUUGGGCGUAAAGAGCGUGUAGGCGGUUCGGGAAGUCUGCCGUGAAAACCUGGGGCUCAACCCUGGGCGUGCGGUGGAUACUGCCGGGCUAGAGGGUGGUAGAGGCGAGUGGAAUUCCCGGUGUAGCGGUGAAAUGCGCAGAUAUCGGGAGGAACACCAGUAGCGAAGGCGGCUCGCUGGGCCAUUCCUGACGCUGAGACGCGAAAGCUAGGGGAGCGAACAGG